rnacentral:lncRNA from 1 species
UUCUCUUCUUUUUUUUAUUCUUACUAAAUUAAAAAAUACUGAAAUUAAGUUUGGGGCAGGAAUUUGUAGCAUUUCAAUUUUUUUUUAAUUCUCAUGACGAUUUUCAAAUACAGACUAACUUAAUACUAACUUCUCUGACCACGUAAAAAAGCUACUGUCUGGUUUAUUUUUCCAAAAGAUUUCUUUUAAACAUUAGUGGACAUGUACGAAAAAGACAUUUUCUGUACAGACAGUGCAGUGCUGUAAACUAUUCACAUUAGCACAGUUCAGUGCACAGUAAGUUCUACUGGGAAACAGCAUGGUUUACCAUUUAGCAAAGCAUGUUAACUCUAGAUUUGACUAACAAAGCUUUGCAAUUAAAAAUCCCGGAAUGAACAAAGACAGAAGGAGAACAGGCCAACACCCACUUCUUUUCUCCUUCCACCAUUCAUUUUGAAAACUGAAACAGAGAACCACCUAGUUAGCCAUUCUGACUCGGGAUGCUAUAGGAAUGGGGCAGAGGGAAGUCAUGUUUUGAUUUCUAGGAGGGUAACGUUUAAUAAAAUUUAUGUACGAGUGCUUACAAAAAUUAAAAGAUUUUGCAAUGUUUUACUAGGUAAUCCUUUUUUUUUCCCCAACCCCUCAGCUUACACAAAUUAACUCCCUAAUAAAAAUACUAACAUUAAAUUGGUGGGGAGAGGGAGAGUAAUAAUUUUGCUUCAAAUAAGUACCUUCAUAAAAGCCUGUGGCUACUGUUCAUAAUACUCCUUACAUGAGUAACUCUCUUUUCAUCAUGGAAACUUUCAGACUUUAUUCAAGGCUGUCUUCAAGAAAAAGCUAGCCACACUAUGUUUCGUGAUGUUUUGCAGAGGCUAGAAACGUCUGGGUACAAUUUGAGGAAUAACAGGUUUGAAUCCCGACAAAACAAUUUCCCCAAAUCAUUUUACACUAGAGAGUACACUCCUAUAUUCACAUAAUUCAAAAACCUCUUAAAUUCAGUCAAAGCAUUUGUGAGAGAAAAAAAAA